GAUGAACGCUGGCGGCGUGCCUAAUACAUGCAAGUCGAGCGAACAGAUGAGGAGCUUGCUCCUCUGACGUUAGCGGCGGACGGGUGAGUAACACGUGGAUAACCUACCUAUAAGACUGGGAUAACUUCGGGAAACCGGAUCUAAUACCGGAUAAUAUAUUGAACCGCAUGGUUCAAUAGUGAAAGACGGUUUUGCUGUCACUUAUAGAUGGAUCCGCGCCGCAUUAGCUAGUUGGUAAGGUAACGGCUUACCAAGGCAACGAUGCGUAGCCGACCUGAGAGGAUGAUCGGCCACACUGGAACUGAGACACGGUCCAGACUCCUACGGGAGGCAGCAGUAGGGAAUAUUCCGCAAUGGGCGAAAGCCUGACGGAGCAACGCCGCGUGAGUGAUGAAGGUCUUCGGAUCGUAAAACUCUGUUAUUAGGGAAGAACAAAUGUGUAAGUAACUAUGCACGUCUUGACGGUACCUAAUCAGAAAGCCACGGCUAACUACGUG
rnacentral:rRNA from 1 species